rnacentral:rRNA from 1 species
GGGUGCGAUCAUACCAACACUAAUGCACCGGAUCCAAUCAGAACUUCGCAGUUCAGCGUGCUUGGGCGAGAGUAGUACUAGGAUGGGUGACCUAUUAGGAAGUCCUUGUGUUGCACCCC